AUAACAUUAGGACCGUCGGUCUACUGAGCAAUAUCACCCGCUCGGUGGAAGAUCUUCCCUUUGUCGU
rnacentral:pre_miRNA from 1 species